rnacentral:lncRNA from 1 species
UGAGGAGAAUCACAAGCAUAAAUUGGAUGUCAGCAGAAACUUACAAGAACUAAGAUGGUAUUCAGAUAAGGAUGAAUAUGCUCCAUGUUUUCCUAAAGAGUUUGAACUUGC